rnacentral:rRNA from 1 species
GACGAACGCUGGCGGCGUGCUUAACACAUGCAAGUCGAACGGAAAGGCCCUGCUUUUGUGGGGUGCUCGAGUGGCGAACGGGUGAGUAACACGUGAGUAACCUGCCCUUGACUUUGGGAUAACUUCAGGAAACUGGGGCUAAUACCGGAUAUGAGCUCCUGCUGCAUGGUGGGGGUUGGAAAGUUUCGGCGGUUGGGGAUGGACUCGCGGCUUAUCAGCUUGUUGGUGGGGUAGUGGCUUACCAAGGCUUUGACGGGUAGCCGGCCUGAGAGGGUGGCCGGGCACAUUGGGACUGAGAGACGGCCCAGACGCCUACGGGAGGCAGCAGUGGGGAAUAUUGCAGAAUGGGCGGAAGCCUGAUGCAGAAGCGCCGGGUGCGGGAUGACGGCCUUCGGGUUGUAAACCGAUUUCGCCUGUGACGAAGCGUGAGUGACGGUAAUGGGUAAAGAAGCACCGGCUAACUACGUG